AAUUUUGAAACUUAAAAUUUGAUAUUUAAAAAUAAAAAUUUAAAUUUAGUAUCUAAAUUUAGAAUUUAAAAUUUUAAAAAUUUAAAAUUUAAAAUUUAAAAUCUUAAAAUUGAAGACUUAAAAUUUAAAAAAAUUUAAAUAUAUAUAAUUGAUAGUCUCUGGCGUAAGUGGCAAAGGACUUGGUGGUGGGUACCCCAGGUCUCAAGUUCGAAUCCUAAUUAAUUCACAUUUUCAGCUAAGUUUAUUUCUAAAAAAAUAAAAGAAGCGCGUAGCAUGCUACCUUUCUCUCAAAAAUAUUUAAAAUUGAAUCUAAAAUAAAAUCAAAAUUUUAAAGUGUGAGUCCUAAAAAUUAGAUAUUUGUAUAUUUUAAAAUUUGAGUUUCUAAAAUUAGAUAUUUAUAUUAGUGGCAUUAUUUUUAUGUGCCAUGCACUAAUAAACAACUUAAAAUUAACAUUUAAUCUCUUUUAGCGGCAUGUUCCUAAUGACAAUUUACAUUGGCGGCAUUCAUUAUAAGUGCUGCUAAUAUUUUUAGCAAUUUUGACAUAGACAGUAUUUGGUAUCAUAUGCUAUUAAAACUUUUGACGACAUUCGUUGAUCUUUUAGCAGCAUAAAUAAAUGUUACUAAUGACUAAUUUUCUAGUAGUGCCCCUUUUAGGUUGUCAUUUUGAUCCUUGUGAGGCUGGAGCACGCAGAGAGUAUGAUGAUGAUGAUCACGUCGUCGGGGUGGACUCUACACUCCUGCAUGUGAUAAAAGAGGGAAAUGAAAUUAUUGGUGGGGGAGAGGGAGAAAAGAAAAGAAGAAGAAGAUUGGGAAGAUGAAAGAAUAGCGAAAAAAGAGAAAAAAAAACAAAGAAAUAUGUUACACAAUUUAAAAUAAAAGAAAAUAAAGAUCUAUUGCACUAUUAUAAUUACUAGUGAAGAGGCUCGUGCUGUGCAGCGGGUAGAAACUGUAGUAGUAAUUAAUAAUAAUAAAAUAUUAAAUAUUUUUUUGUAUAUCUCAUUUGGUACAUCUACCGAAAGUCUCUCACUGUAGGCAGCAGAUAUAAACCCAACGAUGGAGAGACGAUGGAGAGAGAGAGAGAGAGAGAGUAAAAUGACUUAUUCUAAAUAAAAAUUAAAUGGGAGAAAUGAAGAGACGUAUGUUGAGAGAGAGAAUAAAAUGGGGAAGAUGAGGAGAUGUAUGUUGAAAAAGAGAGAGUAAAAUGGCUCAUUCUAAAUAAAAAUUAAAUGGGGGAGAUGAAGAGAUGUAUGUUGAGAGAAAGAGAGUAAAAUGGCUCAUUCUAAAUAAAAAUUAAAUGAUGGAGAUGAAAAGACGUAAAUUGAGAGAGAGAAUAAAAUGGCUCAUUCUAAAUAAAAUUUUUUUUCAAAAUUAGGAGGUUAUGACACAUCAGCUUAAAGCAUUGGGAAUUCAUAAAGAGUAAUAGAUACUAGUGUAGAAGCCCGCGCGAUGCGACGAAUAGGAAUUGUCAUAAUGAAAUUUAUGAAUAAUAUAAACAAACAAAAACAAAUUUAUCAUACUAAAAAUUUACAAUUUAAAUAAAUAAACAAAAAUAUAAAUAAGAAACAAUAGAAUAU
rnacentral:lncRNA from 1 species